AGGACGAACGCUGGCGGCGUGCUUAACACAUGCAAGUCGAGCGGUAAGGCCUUUCGGGGUACACGAGCGGCGAACGGGUGAGUAACACGUGGGUGAUCUGCCCUGCACUCUGGGAUAAGCCUGGGAAACUGGGUCUAAUACCGGAUAUGACCUGCUCUCGCAUGGGGGUGGGUGGAAAGAUUUAUCGGUGCAGGAUGGGCCCGCGGCCUAUCAGCUUGUUGGUGGGUAAUGGCCUACCAAGGCGACGACGGGUAGCCGACCUGAGAGGGUGACCGGCCACACUGGGACUGAGACACGGCCCAGACUCCUACGGGAGGCAGCAGUGGGAAUAUGCACAAUGGGCGAAAGCCUGAUGCAGCGACGCCGCGUGAGGAUGAAGGCCUUCGGGUGUAAACCUCUUUCAGCAGGACGAAGCGCGAAGUGACGGUACCUGCAAGAAGAAGCACCGGCUAACACGUGCCAGCAGCCGAC
rnacentral:rRNA from 1 species